UGAUGUAUGCCACCUGAGGAGAGUCAAGAUUUAGGCUGCCAAAUUUACCCUUGGUAGCCCUGCUUUUGGGCCCAGGGUUUGGUCUGCUCCUUGGUAGUGUCUCUUGCAGAAGACUUGUCUACACGGGGGAAGGUUAAUCUGAAUUAAUUCUUGAAGUGGAUUAGUUAAAGGGUAUAAAAUUCCUGCAUAGACACUCUUAUUCCAAGUUAAAGUCGCCUUAAUUCAAUUUACCUGACAAUGCUUGACUACACUUUAAAUUAACUAAAGUGCAACUUUUGUGAGUGUCUGUCCAUAGAGAAGCCCUUUAGCUCAGCUUUGGGGUUGUGAUUUUUUAAACUCUUCCUUUUUUUCUUUUAUUUCUUUCCCUAUCCCCUCCUUGGAUUUCUUCCUCUCCCUUGCCAGCCUCUUGCUCUGAGCACUGCGUGGUGGAGAUACAGCUCUAAUGCCAGUACCUUUCAAAUGAUAGUGGCUGGAUUAUCUGAAGUCAUUGACUUCAGCUUCUGCACCCAAGACUGACUUAACACCUUGUUAUCCUUUAGCAAGCAUUACAACAAGCCUCAGUCAAAAAUGUCAUGUAGCUGUAGUAUUUUAUUACUGUUAUCUCCCACAUUUUUUCACAGUAUGAUUUUUCAGGUCCUGCGAAAGAAAACCACCUGAGAUAGGGACUAUGGGAAGGCCUUUUGGUUCCAGGAAAUGAAGAGUGUAGGUGUUCUUCAUCAGACAGAAGCAAGGCAUGGCGCUGUCCUAUACUGUAAGUAAUACAAGAUUUGGCUUCUGCAGAAGAAGGACACAAGAUGGUGGCAGGGGAGAUGGUGCAACAGCCCUGGAAAAUUGUCUUCUGUCCCCACAACAGGGACAGGAUGGAAAGUGGGGUUGUGGGUUGCCUGUGUCGCUGCAGCAGAGGAGAAAGGGCCAACACUUUGAAACAGCUUAAAUCUGCAUGAAGGUUACAUCCAUUACAUCCUGAGGUCCCUUCAGAGACUGUUAAGAAAGGGCUAGUUAGUGUCAUAAGAAGACUUUGGGGGGGUUGUUUUAAUACUAAAUUUAUUUGCAUGUAGAUUGAAAGACUCUCAAAGCCCAUUUUACACGGACCACCAAACAGCUGCCAUACCAUGCCAACCUUGGGUCUUAUCAAUAUGGGCUGCAUUUGAACAGGCAAUCAAGAGAAAUGUGCAAAAAAGAUAUCUCAGACCUAAUAGAUUCUGCAUUAUGGGGGUUACUGUCUCCUGACCAAGAGCAAACUGCAGUAAUUACAUCUUUAAGACAGAAAGAAUUUCUCAGCAGUCUGAAAAAGCUAUACACCUGGAUUGGGGCUGCCUGAAAAAACACGCAACAAAAUUUGACAUGCACAGGCCUGUUACUCUACUGUGUGUGCCUGAAAGAUUGCAGGGCAGCAAGAGACCAGGGCUCGUUCCUAGAGGCAAAGAGGGAGCCCAGGGCACAGCCCUGUGCCCUGAUGGCAGGUUGUGUGUCUUCCAUCAUCUCUUUGCUGCACCUGCUGCUUCCUCUAUUACACCCUCUCCUAGCCCCCUUCAAUAUGACUGCACAAUCGAGAGAGAGGUCACAGGUCCAAUAAAAGUUACCACGAAAAAACAAAACAAUCCUAGUCUGCUUCUUAAAAGUUACCCUGAUUUUGAGCAAUGCUUGUGAAAUUUGUUUCAAGGUCAUCACUUGAAAAACUAUUGAUUGAAAGAUAUGGAAAUGUGAACAUUUGCUUUUUCUCACAAGAAAUAUUGGUAAGAUGUCACAAAAGAUCCAAAUUCUUUCAGAAAAGAAAUCGCCUGGAAUAAAAUUAAAAAGUACCUGUU